rnacentral:rRNA from 1 species
UACGAAGGGGGCUAGCGUUGUUCGGAAUCACUGGGCGUAAAGCGCUCGUAGGCGGAUCUUUUAAGUCAGGGGUGAAAUCCCGAGGCUCAACCUCGGAACUGCCUUUGAUACUGGGGAUCUCGAGUCCGGGAGAGGUGAGUGGGAACUGCGAGUGUAGAGGUGAAAUUCGUAGAUAUUCGCAAGAACACCAGUGGCGAAGGCGGCUCACUGGCCCGGUACUGGACGCUGAGGAGCGAAAGCGUGGGGAGCAAACAGG